rnacentral:rRNA from 1 species
GGCUCCCUGUUUUAUUUAAUAUAGGGAGUCGGACCUGCCCAGUGACAUAUUUUAACGGCCGCAGUACUCUGACUGUGCAAAGGUAGCAUAAUCAUUUGCCCUAUAAUUGAGGGCUAGUAUGAAUGGUUUGACAAGAGUAACACUGUCUCUAUAAAAUUCUUUAGAAUUUAAUUUUUAGGUGAAGAAUCCUAAGUUUAAUUAAAAGACAAGAAGACCCUAUCGAGCUUUAAAAAAAUAAGUAAAUUAAGUUUACAUAUUAUUUAUAUACUAUUACUUAAUAUUUUGGUUGGGGCGACUAAGGAACAUAUAAAGCUUCUUUUAAAAUAAUUUAGCCUAUUAGCUUUAGAUCCAGUAAUAUACUGAUUAAAAGAAUUAGUUACCGUAGGGAUAACAGCAUAAUCCUCCUUCAGAGCUCAUAUCGAAAGGGGGGUUUGUGACCUCGAUGUUGGACUAGAAUAUCCUAAAGAUGCAGAAG